UCGUACGAGAGUUUUUAACUCUAGUGGCGGACGGGUGAGUAACACGUGAGAAUCUACCCUAAGGAGGGGAAUAACAGCUGGAAACGGUUGCUAAUACCCCAUAUGCCGAAAGGUAAAAGGAUUUAUCCACCUUAGGAAGAGCUCGCGUCUGAUUAGCUAGUUGGUGAGGUAAAGGCUCACCAAGGCCAUGAUCAGUAGCUGGUUUGAGAGGACGAUCAGCCACACUGGGACUGAGACACGGCCCAGACUCC
rnacentral:rRNA from 1 species